CCUCAACAGCCAGGACUAGGCUAGGCUACAGCUGGGAACUCAACUCAGGUCUUCCCAUGGGUCACAAGUACCUAAAUACUAAUACCGUGCCCUACUGCCUCCCAGGGUGCACAAUAACAGGAAGCCUGAAUCAGGAGCAGAGUAGGCACCAGAGCCCAGGCACUCUGAUACUGGAUGCAGGCAUUGCCAAUGGUAUUUAAAUCACCAGGCCAAAUGCCUGUCCAAAGUCAAAUUCUUAAGAUACACUCUCAUUUUAUUUUAAGCCUAUCGUAUUUUUAUUCUUACUACAUGUCGUAGUUAGGAGGUAGUUAAUAUUGUAACAUAUUAUAGCUGAGAAUUAUAGCUGGUUAUGCAAUACAUAAACAAGAGUUUCUUUUCUUGGAUCUUCCAGGAAAUUCAAAUCUAGUAAAGAAAUCUGCGUAAGUCACCACAGUCAGAAGCAUGAGAAACUUGUGUUACUAUUUGAUGCCUGUGCAGCAAGAAUGUUUUCACAAAUGUGGUAACCCUGAGCUUCCAAUGACAGUGUCUGCAGAGAUUCUCACUGGCCCCUUCAAAAGGCCCGGGGAAGCAGAGAUGACGGUUCCUGCUAUUACUAGGAAGACUUGGAUUGGCUUCCCAGGUUGUAGCUCCAGGCUGAUCCAGUCCUACCAUGUGGGCACCUGCAGAGUGAACCAGUGGCUGUGUACUCACCUCCUGUGGGUGUGCAUCUCAACGUUAGAGUAGAUCCCUUGGAUCCUGUUUGAUACAUUGAUUUUUCUAAGGGGAAGACACGCUUCUCCACAUGUGUUGUUAAUGUUUGCAGGUCAGUAUGAAAGAGCAUGUAUGAUUUCUGUGCCAAAUGCUUUGUAACUGGCUGUGGUUUUCUUAGCUUCUAUAAACAGAAGCUCUUCUGUCAAUACUUUUAAAUACUCUUCCUCCAAAAAAAUAGUAUGAUGAAGUUUUGCCUGGUGUUACCAGCAAUCUCAAACUGAACCAAUGAAUAGGUUACCACCUCUAAGCAAGCUGUCAUUUUACAACUGAGCUUGUUGACCAACAGCUGAGCACACGGUUCUUGGUGUGCAAAGGGAAAAAAGCUCACAUGACACAAUGGGCAAGACACUGCUUGGUAGGCUUACGUUCCAUCCUGGAGAGCUAAAGUUGGAACCCCAGGUCCACUCCUGAUUCCAGCUUUCUGCUAAUGUCCAUCUUGGGAGGCAGGAGAUGAUGACUUGAGUAGUUAAGUACAUGAACCUACAUGGGAGACUCUGAUUGAGUUCCUGACUCCUGGCUUCAAUCUGGUCGAGCCCUGGCCGCUCAUGUGAGAUACUGGGAUAGAGAUCCAGGUUACUGUCUUUAGUCCGGACCAGCACAAACCAUAGUGGCUACUUUAGGAGUGAACUAGCAGAUGGAAGAUCUCUUUCUCUUGGACUGGCAAUGUGGUAACAGUAGGUCAAGCUUGCCUCUGGGGUGCCAGUAUCCCAUAAGGGCACCAGUUCGUAUCCCAGCUGCUCCUCUUCUGGUCCAGCUUACU